GCCUUGCAGCCUGAGAUCCAGCCUCUAAAUUUGAACAGGGAGGGAGACGAGGUGACUGAGCAGACUUUUGUUGCUGCUCUCUCUCUCUGACUCUCUCUCCCUCUCUCUCUCUCUCUCUGUCUCUCUCUCUUGCAAUGUUAUUUUCCCCCUCCUCUCCCAGUAGAGAGUGUGUGGAGAGAUUUUUUGCUAUGGAAGAGCAAGAGGAGCUGCAGAUUUCAGCCAGUGCAAAAUUGAAGAAGGGGGAAGUACAGAAAAUAAGAAGAAGAGGAAAAAAAAAAGGCAAGAGAGAAAGACAUCUCCCUCUCCCACAUUCCCUCCUCUGCCAACGACUUUUACCUCAGAAAGAGCGGAGGGACCAACUUCAAAAGGCAGUCAGGAAGGAGCUGGAGUGUGAAAUCUGAGAAGAGAAGCAAGAUGAGAGGCUGACCGCCGCUGUGUUUGCUAUGCUGUCCAGGACAGCAGACUGGAAGCUUCAGAUGGCCUGACCUGAUGAUCUUAAUCAUGGAAGACUCUGCUGCUGAAGACUGAGGGCCUGUGAGGGGAUACACUAAAUCAGGAAGCGAGCUAGAAGAACAACAAGCAAGGGGGCAUCUUGGAUCUGAAGGGGAGGGCUCUCGGGAGCUGAGAGGGAUGCACGGCCAGCACUAUCUCCAGCACGCUCCUGCCUCAAACAAUGGCGAUCAGAGGAGGAAGGCCAUGGCGCAGUGAGCUAAGGCGUUCACCACACGCUCACCGUGUCACACUUUUCAGUUUGGCUCACACCCUGCUGUGUGUUGCAUGUCACCUGGGCUUAUCUGUUUUCUGUCUGCUGCACAGUGCACCAUUGCAUACGAUGAAAUGUGGAUCAAGUAGCUACUGUAGGCGGACUGGUGUAUACUGGUGAAACCUCUGGGGAUGGGUGGAUGGGGAUGUAGUGACAUGAAUGCUGUUUUAAGGGUCACGUGACAAAGUUAAGGCAGGAGGAGCUGAGGCGUCUAAAAGGAUGACUGGAAGCUGUCAUCGUUUGUAUUAAUUUUGGCCAUUGAUAUGAGGGCUAUACUAAUUAUUUGCCUAAAUUUAACAGUCUGUCAGUAUUGGCAACCUUUAAUGUGAUGCUACUUGUUUGCUCACAUAUAAAGCACUUAUUGUGGUCUCAUGUUAAUGUAGCGUUUUGAUCUGAUGCCACACAAGUAAGACACAUAAAUGUGUAGUUUUGAUGUUACAUGGUCUGAACAUUCUCUGGUAAAUACUGAGUACUUGCAGCUUUUAAGCUUCUAAGCUAAUUAUUUAGCAAUCCAGUAGCAUAUCAAUCAGCACAGGUACCUUUAAAAAUGUGGAAUGCUAAUUGGAUACCAAUACUUGUUGGCAUCCUGAGCCACUAGCUGACUAAAACCAAUACGUGUUGCUGCUGGUGCUGGUAAAGAAAUAGCUAAACAGCUUAUUAGCAUCAGUAGCUUAUGAGAGAUAAUGCUAAUGCUGCUGUGGUAGCAUUAACCUUGUCAUACACCAGUGGAUACUGUUGAGUAACGAAGCAUCUGUCAGCGUGAUAGCUCUUUGUUUCUCCAGCAGGCCUGGCUGUCUCUGUGUGUGUGUGUGUGUGUGUGUGUGUACCUUUAUGACUUGAGAGCAGCACAGAGUAAUGUUGAGAGCGUGACCAUGACAGCUCUGUACAUUAUGUGCUUGACCUCAGUGAACCCUCAGCGAUGUUAAAGCUCACUCACUCAUGCUAACGCAAAUGUAAAGGUGGCCGUAAGAACACACUCACAGUGCAGCUAGUGAUGUCCAGAGUCCACAAUCUGCGCCGCCUUUUGCCGCUAGACGCCGACAUCGCCGCCGUCCGUGAUUCACAUGUGAAGUGCUUCUGAAUAUGCAACUGUUGAUUUGAUUCUGAUGUCUAGCUGCAACCAGAGUGGCGGCACACUUUGUCGUUGAUAGUAACAAGAAUCCCACUUGCUGACUUUGAAUAACACUUCAGUUGGUCAUAGUAGCAAAGUAGCACAUGGACGGCUCUUCAGGGCACACGUCCAUUUUCGUUUGAGCCAUGAGGUUCCGACUGGUUGUUUAAAGGUUAGUUUACCGUGUCGUCCACACUUGCACCUUGCAGGAGGAGGCAUCUCCUGAGAUCCAUUUGCAGCAUAUUUUUUAACAGCAGCUCUUUGGCAGCACGAUUCAUCGAUCUUCGGCCCAUCACAUCGUAGUUAAUAUCUGGCUUUAAUGGGGCGUAGCGUGAAUAUUGAUGAUAACUCAUCUUCAUGGACGCUUCCCUUCAUCUAAAUGCAUCCUAAACCCCAUGCACUUGUGGAUCUCAGAUUUUAGGAAGUGGAAAUUGCGCUGGGUGCUACAUUGAUGCACGUGAAAAACUUGUUUUUUGGUUUGAAACAGGAUGUUAUCUUAGAUAUUACAUACUAAGAUUCGUAUAUGUUAUUCGGAAUUCAAAGACUGCAUUUCGGCCCUUGUGUGCAACAUAUACUAAGGCUGACGUCUCAAAUCAUUGUGACCCUGAAGCUCCAUUUAUUUUGAUCAAUAAAUGUCUCUUUUUGACAUCAUGAGCAUGACUGUUUGCUUUUACUCUUGACCUUGAAAAGUAUAUUUAUCAUUUCCCCUUCUUCAGUGCCAUUUCUUCAACUGACAACAGCUGGAUAUGAUGUGCUGAUGUGUUGGAAAAGAUGCUUCAUCCUGUUCCCCAUUCCGUCCUGUUGUUAAUGAACUAAUAUGGAUUCUAACUUGAAUCCCCUCUGCACUGCUAAUCUGCUGCUUUAGCAAUUCUCUUAUAUAACGCCUCCGUCAGCCCCGUGUGUCUCUUUUUCUACCAUCUCUCUGCCUCAAAAUCGUUUUUUAUUUGUUCAGCUCGGUGAACAAACACUAACCUGGAGCAGUUAGUGUCUAGCCGGUAAGCUCGAAAGGGGCUGUAGGCUUGCUCUCCAUUGUUCAGGCUGCGCCGCACACCGUCUGUACACUGUGUCCCCGUGGCUGAAGCAGACAUAGAGGACAGACAGACAGACAGACAGACAGACAGACAGACAUAGCAACUGGUGGGCAUAUACCCGCCUCGAUAAGCUGCUUCAUCGCCCCAAUGUUGAUUGAAUUUUUUACAAAAGGGACAUGGGCAGAUCAGUGUUGUCUACUCCUGACAUGAUGACAUGCAGAUGAUGCGGUUUGCAUCAGGGAAGCCUGUGAGCUGAAUUCUGAUCUGAUCGAACAUUUCAGACAGAUUUAAUGAAAACGUGGGUAAAAAUCUUUGAUCUUAUUCUUUGAUUGAGGGAUGACUCUUCAGGGAACCUUUUACCCAGCAGCUUCAGGUGUGUCAGUCAGUAAAACCUGUCAAUGACACCUGCCUUACUGAGAUCCUGUACCACUAAGUCUCCGAGAUUUACAAGUCUUGAUUUCAGUUUCAAGUUAAGUCUCCCACAGUGGUCUAAAUGCAGCAUCUGUGGCUCAAAAUAUCCGCUAUUCCCGUAUUGGUUGAUUCUAAAUGCCAGCUGGCUGAUGUAAUCCCUUUUAAGGUGGACCUUUGUUAAGGUGGACUGCGGGAGGUGCAGUGAACACCCAGUGGAUGACUUAAAUCUGGUCAAAAGGGAGUUUAGUGUGCAAUACUUCAGGUGUGGAGAGUAUGCUGGAUGGGUUGCUGCAGGGUUACGCCCAAAGCGCCUCAGGAAAAUGUUUGAGGAGUCAGUCCGAUUUGGAUCAAAAUAAAAGACAAAAUCAAAAUUAUUGAUCAGAGAGAUCGAUCGGCACAUUGAGAAAAAGCGGCGAACGAGGCAACAGUCGAUUGGCAGUAAGCCUCGCCGUCUCUCUGUGGCAGCUGGGGUGGUUUCUCUCCAUGUUGAGUUUACAGUCACCAUUCUGCAGUUUUUUUCUGCCACUCCCUUUAACACACAGCCUCGACUCAGCUGCAGGCAGGAGGAGCACACUCAUCAAUAAUCAGAGCUGGUCAGCGUGUGUGUGUGUGUGUGUGUGUGUGCCUCCUACAGUAUCUAUCAGCAUGUCUGUAAUGUUUGUGUGUGUGUGUGUGUGUUUAGCAGCUCUUCCCCACUGCAGAGGGGUUCACUACCCCUUCCUUCCAGUCUGUCGGUAAAACAAGAUGGCGUCGCAGCUCCACGUGGGCCCUUCCGCGCUGGCUAAUGCCCAGUACCUAUGGCACUGGAAAGCCACAGAGGUCAUUUUUGGAAUUGUUGCAAACCUGUGGUGAAUUUACUUGCCACAUAGCUGAAAUUGCUGAGGAGCUUCUCAGUGCUGUAGUUUGGCCGACUUUUAGAGAUUUAGGAAUUGGGGCAGAUCCAGCUCUUUCAUUGUUUUUCCUGUUGGUUUAUUCACUCACUCGGCAUAUCAGCUGCCAAACUGUAUGCUGUUUUGUCUGCAAUCUGGGCGAUUUUAAAUGUGGUCGGGGUGGACGAGGACGUUUUCAGCAUGAUUUGUCUGUAUGCGUGCGUGUGUGUGUGUGUGUGUGAGUGUGUGUCCUCCCUGACUCAGGCUAAGGCCAGUUUAAAGGAGCUUGGGGAUUGUGCAGAGCCACAUCACACCAGCAGAUUAACCAGACUACACACUAACCUCAUUAAUCUGAGAAAGACUAAUGACACCAACAACGUGUCAGCAGUCACACACACAUAAACACACAAACACACACCUACAAACACAUGCAUUUAAAACUGUUCCCUUUGUCUCUACCUAAUAGAAACCCAGGUACUGAUGACCGGAGGCCGAGGCAGAGCCCGUCUCCUCUUCCUCAGUGUUGUCCUGCUCCAGGUCAUGUUGGAUUUAAAGACAUGCUGGAAAUCCCCCUAUGAAUCAACAUUUAACACUUUGCUGCCACGUCAACCAAAAAGCUGCAAACGUUUUUGAAGGGAAAGAGCUUAAGCACACUGGCUGCGGUUAACAUUUUGGAUCAUUUUCGGCCUCAGCAGCCUUGAUACCAGGAAGCUGCGGAGAUGCGAUCAGCUAUUGUGUGUCUGCACAGAGAGAUUUGAUUUGGGGGUUUCAAGUCGCUUUCUCUUUCUUUUUUCAACUGAGCUGGCAAGUUUUUGAAGGACUAUAUCUGUAAUCUAUUUGAUGAUGAUGGGCACAUCACGCAGCAUCUGGAUCAGGACAAGAUAUUAUAACACCAACCAUUCUCACACAAUUUGAGACUUUGACUGUAUCUGAGUUCUUUACGAAGAUGUUAAAACACCUUGGACUUUUCACUGUUUUCUGACAUUUUAUAGACAAAAUGAUUAAUGGAGAAAAUAAUCGGCAGAUUAAUCAAUAAUGGAAAUAAUUUGCGGUUGCAGCCCUACUUUGGUUAGCUUUAAAUUUGACAAUGUUUUGUAAAUGGAACAAAUGCAACACAAAUAAGAUACACUUUUAGAUCCCACACAGGGACACUGAAGUGUCACAGCAGCAAAAGGAAGAACAGGAACAGAUGCACAGUAACUUUAAGAAUCUUUAAAAAACUAGAUAACUACAUAUAUUAUGUGCAUGUACUAUAUACUACUAAACACUGUACUGUACAAUAUUGCAAUCUGAGACACAAGACACUUUACCCUCCACCAAAUUCCAUUCAAUCAAGUGCAAUUUUUGUAUUGAUUUUUUUAUUAUUGCAACAUACUUCUUAAAGGACACUUUUCUCAUCUGUUGUCAUCCACUUGUGACAUCAUGACAUAAUGUCAGGGACGCUGAAUCUUAUGUAUUGUCUGUAUUAGUGAAAGCAAAUUGUCACUUGCAUAUGCUAUUUCUAUUCCAAUGUAAACCACAGAUGUAUGCUACUUAUGUUAUACUAACUUAUAGAACAAUAAUUGAUUCAUUUUUCACAUUUUUUGUUUUGUCACAUAAAACACAAUUUCCAGCUAUUUGUGUGUGCUGACCAGAGCUCAUUACCAGAGCUGAAGUGGACUGCAAAUCUAACUAUAUGAAGGAAUAUAUGAAAUUAAUCUAUAUGCUAUAAAUGUAUAGUGUACAGUGUAUAGUGAUUUAAGUUAAUGUUUUUAUUCUACAAUUGAAUUCUAUUUAGUAUUGGCAGUUGUAUGCUUUAUGAGGAUCAUGACUGGAUAUUAUAUUUUAAAACAACAUAACAUAUGAUAAUACCACUUUUUUCUCCUUGUAAUAAAUAUAGCAAUGAUGAGAGAGCAGUACAGUAAGCCCAGUGUUCUCUUCAGAGGCCUGGUAUUGAAAUAGAGACGUCUUACAGUUGUGUCUAAAUAAAGCCUUGAAGCUGUCAUUUCACAUGAUUGUCAAUUCUUUCAACUGCUUAUUAAUAGACGCUCUGAAUGAGUUGUGGGAUUUUUCUAAACAGGCAUGUCAUCUGGAACGUUUUGUAUUUUAUCUUUCGAGGUAUUUUUAUACCUUUUUAAAAGUCUUGAAUCUGUUUCAGUAAGAUUAACUCUUUGGCGUGAUUUUUGUUUCUGCAGAGCUGCCAAGAGAUAUUACAGCAUCCGCACCACAAAGACAUCGGACAGUACAUGAACCGAAAUAAAGACAUUAAUAAAGACAGCUGACAAGCACGUUCUCAGAAGUCAGUGUGCUUGCAGUAAUUAGUCUAUAUGAUCUGAAAUUGGAUGUAUGCACUUGAUGUAUGGUUAUUUGUUAAAUGUGUUACAAUACCACAAUAAAACGUCAUUAAUGAAUGUUAUUCAUGGUAAUUACACCUACAUGGAUACGGUAAAUAUUGAAAUAGUAAUGCAAAUAUUCAUUUUAUUUGAAGUAUGCAGAUAUUCAGAAAUGUGUCAGCUCAUCCAACAAUCAGCUUUUAUUGCUUUUCAUGUGUUCACAAUCAUUUCAACAGGAGGAAAAGAAAUGCAAACUUCAUUAGCACCACUGAGUCUAUUAGACCAGGUCAGGACAUGUCGAGGAAUGGUCCAUUAACAUGAGACGGAUAUGACAGCCACACUGAAGCAAGCUUCUACUGCCCAUACACACACAUACACACAUUUCUGUGGUGUACAGGAUAUCUUGACCGGGACAUACAUAGGCUGUACUGAUGUAAAAACACACACACAUACUGACUUCUAGCUAAAGUUUUGUUUUGUUUUUUGUCAAUGUGGCUCCACUGCUGAGAUACUAAGAUGCUUUUCCAGAGUAAUUUAAUUGUCUUUACUUUGUAAUACAAUUUUUUUUUGACGCUAAUAAAAUAUUUAUUAUAAAUGUCCUCUUUUUGUAUUAUUUCAAGAACUGCACCAAGGUUCUAUGCUAACAUUUUAUCAUUCAUAGCAUAUUAAGUAUGCUAGUAUUUUAUAUGCUAGGCAUAACUAAGUGUUAGUAUUUAGUAUUAAAGCUAGGGGAGGUAACGUUGAAGAACCUAGCAAGAGACAGCUAGAUUUUGAAAGUAUCCAGCCGAAAAAAUCCCCCCCCCCCUCCCUUCAGGCCUCCCUCCCAAGCCACUCCCCCAAAACACAUUUUCCUGCGGGACAAGUGCAAGGGCAGAGUGAGCGCUGGUAGGCAGGCAGGUAGGUAGACGGGCAGGUAGGCCAGCCAAUCAUUUCAUUCGGGCCAAAUGAAAUGAUUGGCUGGGCUUAUUCCAGGCCUGCCACAGCCACAGAUACAGGACUUUAUUUUUCCAGAGCAUUUGAUUUAUUGAUUGUUGUCGGGAUGUUAAGAGAAUUUCAGUGUCAAAAUGCUUUUGAAAUACAUUACCCACCCUAGCUUUAAGUAACACUUAUUCCCUAUGCUAAGUGACUUCACGGUUUAUGCUAACACCUCAGUAUAUAUUAACGAUAGAAUGUGCCAUGCUUACACUUUAGUAUACACUAUUGUAUGUGAAUGUAAACUCGAUACUAACAGUUAAGCAUACACUGUGCUAAAUGAUAUUAAUGGUAGCACUUUAGCAUGCUCUGUGCUAAGUGAUGGUUGGCUUCAUGCUAGCAUUUUAGUACACUGUAUGUUAAGUGAUUGUAGGCAUCAUGUUAACAAUAAAAAUAAUAAUAAUGCUAUGUGAUAGUAUAUUACAAGCUAACAUUUCAGUAUACACCAUUUUGAGAAAUAUUGCCUCAUGCUAACAUAUUAGCGUACACAUUAUUGAGUGGUAGAAGGCUAACCCUUUAUAACAUACAUUAUACUUUACGAUACGACAUUCCAAGCCAAUAUUUACAUUUAGCUACACUAUUCUGAGUAAAAUGGCUCCAUGCUAACACUUUAGUAGGCGUUAAGCUAAGACUCUCA